ACAGCAUGAUGUUUGCAUAGCAUUCUCUUCAUUCAUUCACAUGUCUAACAAGAUUAAGCAUGAUGUUUACUAUAACCUUGUCUAGAUAAUCUGUAGGCAACUCUAAUGGUGAUCAAACAUUAAAAUUGACAAACAAAUUGAACAAUAGAUUCAGUGAAUGAAACAAGAAACAGAUUGAUGAACUGAAUACUUUAACUUAGAAACAUGGAUCAAUGUUGCAAGGCUACAUCGAAAUCCCUAGCUAUGAAUUUAGUUACACAUCAUGUUCAAAGAGAAUAAAACAAAAAUAAACAACAUGAGUGAAAAUAAAUUCAUGAGAGGAAACCCUUGAACCAAUUCUGAUGUUGAACUUCUCCAAGAACCACCUCUUGCGCUGAGUCCUAAUGGUGGAAAUAUAUGGACGGCUAGGGUUUUAGUGUGCAUGAAAGGAGAGAAUAACCAAGAAGUCUGUUCUAGGGUUGUGAAAUUCGUCCAAAAUAAAUAGGGGUUUUAAAAGUGGCUAAAAGGCAAGUUUUUAUGGUGUAAAAUAGGCUGCAAGAUAUUCCAAAGAGAUCCUAACAAAUCAGCCUUUAUUUUGCACGUUUUUGCCUUAUUUGGCACCUCCAAAUCA
rnacentral:lncRNA from 1 species